rnacentral:rRNA from 1 species
AGUGAACGCUGGCGGUAGGCCUAACACAUGCAAGUCGAACGGCAGCACAGUAAGAGCUUGCUCUUACGGGUGGCGAGUGGCGGACGGGUGAGGAAUACAUCGGAAUCUACUUUUUCGUGGGGGAUAACGUAGGGAAACUUACGCUAAUACCGCAUACGACCUACGGGUGAAAGCAGGGGAUCUUCGGACCUUGCGCGAUUGAAUGAGCCGAUGUCGGAUUAGCUAGUUGGCGGGGUAAAGGCCCACCAAGGCGACGAUCCGUAGCUGGUCUGAGAGGAUGAUCAGCCACACUGGAACUGAGACACGGUCCAGACUCCUACGGGAGGCAGCAGUGGGGAAUAUUGGACAAUGGGCGCAAGCCUGAUCCAGCCAUACCGCGUGGGUGAAGAAGGCCUUCGGGUUGUAAAGCCCUUUUGUUGGGAAAGAAAAGCAGCAGGUUAAUACCCCGCUGUUCUGACGGUACCCAAAGAAUAAGCACCGGCUAACUGCGUG